rnacentral:rRNA from 1 species
AGCGAACGCUGGCGGCAGGCCUAACACAUGCAAGUCGAACGAACCUUUCGGGGUUAGUGGCGGACGUGUGAGUAACACGUGGGAACGUGCCUUUAGGUUCGGUAUAACUCAGGGAAACUUGUGCUAAUACCGAAUGUGCUCUUCGGGGGUAAGAUUUAUCGCCUCUAGAGCGGCCCGCGUCUGAUUAGCUAGUUGGUUGAGGUAAUGGCUCACCAAGGCGACGAUCAGUAGCUGGUCUGAGAGGAUGAUCAGCCACAUUGGGACUGAGACACGGCCCAAACUCCUACGGGAGGCAGCAGUAGGGAAUCUUGCGCAAUGGGCGAAAGCCUGACGCAGCCGUGCCGCGUGAAUGAUGAAGGUCUUAGGAUUGUAAAAUUCUUUCACCGGGGACGAUAAUGACGGUACCCGGAGAAGAAGCCCCGGCUAACUUCGUG